AUUGAACGCUGGCGGCAGGCCUAACACAUGCAAGUCGAGCGGCUGCAGGGAGCUUGCUCCUGGAUUCAGCGGCGGACGGGUGAGUAAUGCCUAGGAAUCUGCCUGGUAGUGGGGGAUAACGUCCGGAAACGGGCGCUAAUACCGCAUACGUCCUGAGGGAGAAAGUGGGGGAUCUUCGGACCUCACGCUAUCAGAUGAGCCUAGGUCGGAUUAGCUAGUUGGUGGGGUAAAGGCCUACCAAGGCGACGAUCCGUAACUGGUCUGAGAGGAUGAUCAGUCACACUGGAACUGAGACACGGUCCAGACUCCUACGGGAGGCAGCAGUGGGGAAUAUUGGACAAUGGGCGAAAGCCUGAUCCAGCCAUGCCGCGUGUGUGAAGAAGGUCUUCGGAUUGUAAAGCACUUUUAGUUGGGAGGAAGGGCAGUAAGUUAAUACCUUGCUGUUUUGACGGUACCAACAGAAUAAGCACCGGCUAACUUCGUG
rnacentral:rRNA from 1 species